AGUGAACGCUGGCGGCAGGCCUAACACAUGCAAGUCGAACGGCAGCACAAGAGAGCUUGCUCUCUGGGUGGCGAGUGGCGGACGGGUGAGGAAUGCAUCGGAAUCUGCCCAUUUGUGGGGGAUAACCUCGGGAAACCGGGACUAAUACCGCAUACGACCUACGGGUGAAAGCAGGGGAUCUUCGGACCUUGCGCAGAUGGAUGAGCCGAUGCCGGAUUAGCUAGUUGGAGGGGUAAAGGCCCACCAAGGCGACGAUCCGUAGCUGGUGUGAGAGGAUGAUCAGCCACACUGGGACUGAGACACGGCCCAGACUCCUACGGGAGGCAGCAGUGGCGAAUAUUGGACAAUGGGCGCAAGCCUGAUCCAGCCAUGCCGCGUGUGUGAAGAAGGCCUUCGGGUUGUAAAGCACUUUUGUUGGGAAAGAAAAGCAGCCGGUUAAUACCCGGUUGUCAUGACGGUACCCAAAGAAUAAGCACCGGCUAACUUCGUG
rnacentral:rRNA from 1 species